rnacentral:rRNA from 1 species
CGUAUGUAACCUACCUUUAUCAGGGGGAUAGCCUCUCGAAAGAGAGAUUAAGCCCGCAUAAUAUGGAGACACAGCAUUGUGAUUCCAUCAAAUAUUUAUAGGAUAAAGAUGGGCAUGCGGAACAUUAGCUAGUUGGUAAGGUAAUGGCUUACCAAGGCUACGAUGUUUAGGGGAUCUGAGAGGAUGACCCCCCACACUGGUACUGAGACACGGACCAG